rnacentral:rRNA from 1 species
UGCAGUCGAGGGGCAGCACGAGUACUUGUACUUGGUGGCGACCGGCGCACGGGUGCGUAACGCGUAUGCAACCUACCUUAUACAGAGGGAUAGCCCAGAGAAAUUUGGAUUAAUACCUCAUAGUAUCAUUUGAAGGCAUCUGAGAAUGAUUAAAGAUUUAUCGGUAUAAGAUGGGCAUGCGUAAGAUUAGUUAGUUGGUGAGGUAACGGCUCACCAAGACUUCGAUCUUUAGGGGUUCUGAGAGGAUGAUCCCCCACACUGGUACUGAGAUACGGACCAGACUUCUACGGGAGGCAGCAGUAGGGAAUAUUGGUCAAUGGGCGAGAGCCUGAACCAGCCAUGCCGCGUGCAGGAAGACGGCCUUCUGGGUUGUAAACUGCUUUUAUAUGGGAAGAAAACGGCCUUGCGAGGCAGAUUGACGGUACCAUAUGAAUAAGCACCGGCUAACUCCGUGCCAGCAGCCGCGGUAAUACGGAGGGUGCAAGCGUUGUCCGGAUUUAUUGGGUUUAAAGGGUACGUAGGCGGCCAAUUAAGUCAGUGGUGAAAGCCAGCAGCUCAACUGUUGAACUGCCAUUGAUACUGAUUGGCUCGAGUUCUGUUAAGG